rnacentral:rRNA from 1 species
UACGUAGGGUGCAGGCGUUAAUCGGAAUUACUGGGCGUAAAGCGUGCGCAGGCGGUUUCUUAAGUCAGAUGUGAAAGCACCGGGCUUAACCUGGGAACUGCGUUUGAAACUGGGAGACUUGAGUGUGGCAGAGGGGGGUGGAAUUCCACGUGUAGCAGUGAAAUGCGUAGAUAUUGGGAGGAACACCAGUGGCGAAGGCGGCUAUCUGGACGGUUUCUGACACUAAGACUCGAAAGCGUGGGGAGCAAACAGG